UACAGAGGGUGCAAGCGUUGUUCGGAAUUAUUGGGCGUAAAGGGCGCGUAGGCGGUGCGGUAAGUCUCUUGUGAAAUCUCCGGGCUCAACUCGGAGCCUGCAAGGGAAACUGCCGUGCUUGAGUGUGGGAGAGGUGAGUGGAAUUCCUGGUGUAGCGGUGAAAUGCGCAGAUAUCAGGAAGAACACCCGUGGCGAAGGCGGCUCUCUGGGACGGUACUGACGCUGAGACGCGAAAGCGUGGGGAGCGAACAGG
rnacentral:rRNA from 1 species